ACCCGGCUCAGUGUAGUUGCGCUAAUGUGCCUCCGCGCUGUACGAGAGGGCAGGUAUUUACAAAGGAAAAUGUGCCGCCAGUAAAUGCGGCCUUUCUGAGGCAGCUAAGACCCAAUUUUAUGUAACGUUAACAUAAACCACAUUACCUUGAGGUUGUGGUGUAAUCCAGAAAGUACGACCGGGCAAACCUUGUAGCUAAUGUAAGCAUGCGCAAAAUUUCUAAUAAGCAGCUAACGUUACACCACUGAUAUUAGAACAUUUAACCAUGGCAGUCCCGCCCGCCAAAAUCUUCGGUAUGCUAACGUUAGACAUGCUAACUGGACACCAACAUUACAGAAAUGUAAGCUAACGUUGACAUACUUGCCAGUAAAGAUAUCUCAAGGCUAUUUUUGCUCUUAGAAGUUUAACACAUUGUUGGAUUCAAACAAUUGUUUCACAAAACGUAAAUUAAUCAAUAAAUGUUCAUUAAUUCUCGCUAACAUUAGCAUGACGAAAGCUGGCUCGGGUCAGUCAGUUCAUGUUAAAUACUUAGUCACUUAAAUUAGCUAAUAGAACCAAAUGUAACCAAUUCAGGUGGACUAUUCUAUAUCCAACAUAUUAAAAUCUUUGUACACACAAAAUCCAUCCAAAUCAUGUAAUGUUAAUGAAAGAAAAUGGAGGCCUGAGCCAAAUUUUGUGCUUUCCAUUGGGACAAAAAUCAAAUAUCGUUCUUUAUUGAUUCUUUAAAGCCUUUGCUUUCAUGAUCAAGAUGAACGGGUCAUAGAAAAAGAAACGGUAUAGCAAAGUGUUUUAUGCACCAUGUGAAGUGGAUGAGCUCCAUCAAUACAAAUACACCGUCUACAUACACGUUUACUUUAAAGGCUCAUUUCUAUAUUCUAGAUACCUUCACUGUAAACAUAGACAGGUGACAUCAGGAUUUCUCCAUGUUCCAUGAUCCAUGUUCCAUGUUCCAUGUUCCGUGCUCCAUGUUCCAUGUUCCGUGUUCCGUGUUCUAUGCUCCAUGUUCUAUGUUCUAUGCUCCAUUCACCACAGCAUUAGAAACACAGUCUGAGGCACAUUCAGUCAGUUAGUUUCAAACCUCACAUCUACACACACUGAAGUUUUCCGGACAGAAAUCUGCAGAAAGCAAUCGUGACGCCUCAGGAGUCUGAAGAGGAGAUGAAGACGCGUUUUGCUGCACUCAACAGAGCUCGAGGUAAGUGAGGAAUCCAGACAGACUGCAGCCGUACUGCUGUAAAUCACGUGUUUGUACUAUCGGGUAACGGAAGCUGUGACGUGGAGUUAGUACGUCGAGAUAAACCUCUGAUUCCUGCUGUUAUCAUGUACAUGUACACAGGGACACUAGCGUAUAAAAGUAUUUACCCAGAGACACUCACAUAUAAAAGUACUUACACAGAGACACUAACGUAUAAAGGUACUUCCACAGAGACACACAUAUAAAAGUACUUACACAGAGACACUCACAUAUAAAAGUACUUACACAGAGACUCUCACAUAUAAAAGUACUUACACAGAGACACUAACGUAUAAAAGUACUUACACAGGAACACUCACGUAUAAAAGUACUUACACAGAGACACACACAUAUAAAAGUAAUUACACAGAGACACACACAUAUAAAGUUACUUACACAGAGACAGUCACAUAUAAAGGUAUUUAUACAGAGACACACACACAUAUAACAGUACAUAUAACACACUUACCGUGUUGGUAUGCACAGAGACGCACUAAACAUAAAAAGCAUACACAGAAAUACACCUUAACAACCACAAAUAUAUAAUGUACACUUACACACACAUACAAACAUUAAAUAAUUAAACAAAAGUAUCAAAUUAAAAUAAUUGGAUCUAUGAAUGUUGUCUCACAUCCUGAUGAUCCUCCUCACGUCUCUUCUCCUUGUCUCUGCAG
ensembl:lncRNA